GGGCGCGUAGCUCAGUCGGUAGAGCAUCUGCCUUUUAAGCAGAGGGUCCCUGGUUCGAGCCCAGGCGCGCUCA
rnacentral:tRNA from 1 species